rnacentral:tmRNA from 1 species
GGGAGCGACUUGGCUUCGACAGGAGUAAGUCUGCUUAGAUGGCAUGUCGCUUUGGGCAAAGCGUAAAAAGCCCAAAUAAAAUUAAACGCAAACAACGUUAAAUUCGCUCCUGCUUACGCUAAAGCUGCGUAAGUUCAGUUGAGCCUGAAAUUUAAGUCAUACUAUCUAGCUUAAUUUUCAGUCAUUUUUGAUAGUGUAGCCUUGCGUUUGACAAGCGUUGAGGUGAAAUAAAGUCUUAGCCUUGCUUUUGAGUUUUGGAAGAUGAGCGAAGUAGGGUGAAGUAGUCAUCUUUGCUAAGCAUGUAGAGGUCUUUGUGGGAUUAUUUUUGGACAGGGGUUCGAUUCCCCUCGCUUCCACCA